CAUCCCCUGCGGUGUUCGAUCUCAGGCCGAGUUAUCUUGAGCCUCAGAGCAAUGCCCAAGGGACCGGGCGUGGGUUGACCGGUGUGCAUGUCCGCCGCGAGCGGAAAGCCUAAGGCAGCUCCCCCCGUCCCUACCUGAACCGAAGGGUUCAAGGGCAGGCCUGUACGGCAUGCGCGGGGGGUGU
rnacentral:other from 1 species